CAGUCAGACAGACAUCCCUGCGCCUCAGUUCCCAGAAGCACAGCAGGCCUCUAGGAGCAUCCGUGGGAAAGGCGCAGUCCUGGCAUCACCAGCUUCUCCUGCUCAGGCUCAUCCCAUAUGCAGAGGUCAAAAGGGUGGGGCUUGAGAUGGGGGAAGGAACGAGAACGUAUAGGCUAUGGCAUUGCAGUGCUGCUGUUGACCAGCUUUUGGUGCUUCUGUCAGUGUGUUGCUUGUUUUAAGUUGGCAAGUCUGUACAUUUAUUUGGGAGGGUGGAAAAACAAGCCAUUAUUAUUGCUAGUCAGUCUUGGAAUAGUUCCUCAGUGUGUAAUUUCAAAUAAAUUUCAGGUGUAGACUCCAGUGGCAAAGAAUGGCAAUAGAAAUGAGGAUUAGAUUUUUAAAGGCAGAAGACAUCAUUCUGUCUUCUUAGAACCACGUUUGUUUUUCCCUACCCUGAGUUUUGCUGUGUUUGUAAAUAGUUUAAGGCAAAUACAUUCAUGGUCAGUCCUUUUAAGGGACUUAUUGAAUAUUAACUCUUUUGCAAAAAAAUACCCAAUGCUUAUCUGGGCAUACAAAUGCUACCCUAUUUUAAAUGUAGGUGGCGUAUGAGUUCGUGCUUUAAUGUAUUCAGAGCCAUUGGGCAAUAAGCAGUCCAGAACAUUGAAAGCAGCAGAGAGAUAAACUGGUAGGUGGCAGCAGAGAAAGGAAUUCUUCAGACUGAUGGCUGUUGACCUUAAACCUACAUAGGAGAAGAGAUAGCAUGUGACGUACCAAGUGGAGCGAGGGGCAGCACAGAUGAAAACUGGACUCAGGAAGGCUGCCUCUUUACUGAAUGGUUCUCUCGAUGUAACCAGUGAUGUUCUGGAUGAAGAUAGAUCUUUGUCACCUUUUAGAGGGGGAAAAGAAUGCAGAAUAAGAAAGAAUCGGUUCUUUAUAUCUUGUUGCAUUC